ACUUUCUCUCUCUUCACACAAAUAACAAGUCAUUUUUUUCUUGGUUCAAACAACAACUCCUCCACCUCUGUUUCUUUUCAAUUGCUAGCAACCCACAAAUCUUCCUUCUUCAACAUACCAUCUCUCCCCCACCUUCUCACGCACAGCAUAAUCCGUCCUCUCCUUCAAACCCCCUUCCUCCCUUCAAUUCCUCUUCCAAACAGAACAAACACAAUUCUACCUUCCUUCCAUCAUCCUCUAUUAUGUUCGUCUUCCGCGAAGUUAUCCGCAAACCAGCUACCAUCUCCAUUCACUGCGCGCUAA